AUUCUUUCCCGGUUCAUAAGCAUGAUGAUUGUGCGUUCACAAGUUUGAGUGACUUGUGCCUCCCUUAUAACUUGUUAUGCUUUUGGCACAAUACCCAUUUUAUG